rnacentral:rRNA from 1 species
CCUACGGGAGGCAGUAGUGGGGAAUAUUGCGCAAUGGGCGAAAGCCUGACGCAGCGACGCCGCGUGAGGGAUGAAGGUCUUCGGAUCGUAAACCUCUGUCAGCAGGGAAGAACGGUCACUGUGCUAAUCAGCAGUGAAUUGACGGUACCUGCAAAGGAAGCACCGGCUAACUCCGUGCCAGCAGCCGCGGUAAUACGGAGGGUGCGAGCGUUAAUCGGAAUUACUGGGCGUAAAGCGCUCGUAGGCGGUAUGUCAAGUCAAGGGUGAAAUCCCCGCGCUCAACGUGGGAACUGCAUUUGAAACUGGCAAAAUGGAGUGUGUGAGAGGAUAGUGGAAUUCCAGGGGGAGGGGUUAAAUCCGUAGAUAUCUGGAGGAACAACGGUGGCGAAGGCGACCAUCUGGCAGAAAACUGACGCUGAGGAGCGAAAGCGUGGGUAGCAAACAGGAUUAGAUACCCGUGUAGUC